CUUCACUCCGGACAGGAUCACGUUUUUCGCCGUUUCCACCCCCAGACCCUUCAUCCCUGCGAUGAGGACGCUGGCCGAGCCCAUCCUGUGCAUGGCCUCGUGACCCAGGACAUACCUGAGCAAGUGAAACAAUCCCGACAUGUUGGGCUUUGACCAGAGGACCGGAUUAAACAGCUGAGGGAACACAGCCGGCCAGAACCGAGAAGAAAGAGAAAGUAAUCCGGCUGAGAUGAGGGCGACUCCAGACUGAGGAUCACAACAACCGAGGAACACCCAGUUACACAGCUGGAGGAGCUUCUAUCAAACUCUGGGUGCAAACUGUGUGACUCUCCAGUUUCCUUCUGAUUACUACAGGUGCCACGGUGCCACCACCACCCAGGACCUCAGCUGGGAGCUGAUCGUCUGCUCCAGCAUCCAGAAGGCCAUACAGAGGAUGUAUUUUCUGUUCAGUCUGAUGAAACACUCCUCCACUGAGUCCUCCCUCACCUCCUCCAUCACCGUGCAUCCUCCUCCAAUAACAUCUUUUCUGAUUCUGAAGGGAUUAAGUUCAAUUUUACACUGAUAUCUUAUUAAGACACAUCUUAGAAGUGAGUAUAAUGUCUAAAAGUAGGAUACAUGCUCUGAGAAUGACAGCUCACACUUAUGGGUCAUAAACAACGCAAGAAUUUCAUUGCAUCAUGUCAUCACAGAAAAUGUCACUAAUGCUGCAACAUAUUGUCAGAAAAGCCCCAUCUGUUGAAAUUCCAUCCUUUAUACAUAUUUCUUCAGAUGAAAUUGCUAAGAUAAAGAUAAUGUUUUAAAAAUAAUUGACUAUGAAAGUAUGACUUUCACUUUAUUUUUUCUUUAAUUUCUGUCCAUUUUCAAAACAAACAUCUGCAUAUCGUUAAAGUAUGAUUCAAAAUCUAAUGAGCUGGUGUCAUAAGUACAUAAUUAUUAUGCCUGGAAGGAACAUUAACUUUUCCAUGGUGACAGUAACAAUGAUACGCCUCAGUAUUGCUUAAUAUCUUUGUCAUUGGUUUCAACAGGUUCUGCCUGGUAAAGAGAAUAGAUAUGAUUCAACAUUACGCAUCAAUUACAAGUUUUAAGAAGCAAGCCACCAACUUCACUGUGGUGUGUGAAUGAGGAACACACUAACAGUAGAAAAUACAUUAUGUGUUCAUUACGUGUGUGUCUUAUGUGUUCCACAAUUUCAGAAAAAUCAAAAACUGCCUUUUUGCAUCUCUACUUGUUUCUUAACGAGUAAACAACUCAGU